CACUCCUGCAACAAUUUAUCUAUGCUUAUGCAUGACUACUGCCUAUACACAUCUACAUUUUUGCUAUGUCUAUACUAUUGCCGAUCAGCAUUUUUGCUUUUACUAUGGCUAUGCUUAACCCGCUCUGUAAUUUGCCAUGCCUAAUCUAAGCUGCUUUCAAGUGCUUAAGUUAUAUUUAUGCCUAUGCUGCUGAACUAUCUGGCAGCCCUAUGCUUUGUCUCACUAUCAUUUAGCCUCAAAUUUGCUAAAGGAUAUCUUGUAAUUAGGUACAUAGGGCUUAUUUUACUCACAUUAGCUAAACAAUAUGGUCAUUCCAUGUGAUAGCUAGAAUGCUUGUGAUCUAUCCAUUCCACCAAACUAAUCUGAGGCCAAAGCUAUUGUUGUUUUAUUUUCCUUAGUUAAAUAAAUUUGAGCUCUCCAUUUUGCCAUGUAUUUUUGUAGCUGAACUUUUGAAUUAACACCUACUUUCUUCAGGGAUCUUUCAGGUGAAGGCGUAUUUGAUAUCAUUUCUGAUGUCUUGCAGAGUCAAGAUAGAAAGAUUGUUUCGGCUGGGACCCCAACCUACUGAGGUCAUAUAUUCUCCAACAAGAAGGGAAUUCUCUUCUUGGACUUCUGAUAAGGUGCCACUUUCUAAUGAACAAUGCAAUGGAGAAAAUCCUUGCCUUGACUUGACGGAGGGAGAAGUUUUUGGUUGUUGCAGCAGUUAGAUUUAUGCGGACUACAUAUACAUCUCUUUUGAAUGCUAGAGAACAAUCAUGUGUUCAGAGAAUUUGGGUCUAGAUAAUACAUAUUUGCUUGCCAGACAUGUUGUAAAAAAAGAGUAACUGAGUGAUAUUUUUUUGAAUCAGAAAUUGUUAUGUGGUGUUGUGAUUUGAAUGAUUUUUUUUGCUGGAUCACAUAUGGCCCACCUAUAAAAAUGCAGCCCAUCUGUGAUGAAAAA